AACCGGAAGAGGAUAAAGUAAACUCAUAAACCAAAGAAUAAUCAAACAAGAACUUACUAGUAAUUAGAAGUCGAAUUACUGAAGAAUCUUAGAAGCAAGCCUCGGGUUAGGAGACUUGAUCCCGUAGGUAUAACUCGGAGUAGACACCGACAGGCCGUCCUUCCUCCGAUCCACACCUCCACUCUAUCUCUCUCAAUCUAGUAGAAACUAGAAGAUCUAUUUCUACUUUACAUUGGUUGCUAAGCCUAAAAAGAAAUAUUAUUUAGAGAAGAGGUUUUCCAUCGAGGGCACCCCUCAAUCUCUAUGAUAAUUCCUUGUCUUCUCUAGGGGCCAGAGGGGGUCUCCUUAUAUAGUCCUCCCCUUCUAUGCGUUUUUGGGUCGAUAGGCGAGGUGGUACUAUGUUAUUCUAGAUCCAAUAGGUCGGUGGAACAUCGUGUACGAAGAGAGUCCGGAACAGAGUCCAGAGGGGGGCGGGCACCCAGGUCCUCAGGGCGGGCGCCCUGGGCCUGGCCCCUUUCGGGCUCCGCUUCCUUCCCGUGGCUUCUGGAGUCUUCUAGAUGAUAGAAAAUUGCGCGGUGGGUUGAUAUCUCUAUGUAAUCCCGACAUGUGGGCCUUUCUUCCUUAUUUCCUGAUAACCCCCUGCAGAAAUAGACAAACACCAAAACUCGUAGAAUUCUGUCAGAUAAAACCCUAAGUCUAGAUGUUGAUUUCAUUUGGAUCCUUUUCUUUAUUUAUUUGAUAAUUAAAUUUGAUACUUAAGGACCGUCAACAAACUCCCCAAAGCUUACCUCUUGCUCGUCCCUGAGCAAGGAUAGACUUAGCUAUGGAUCAUAAAUUGUUGCAAUAUUUUUAAAAAUUGAUGUACACAUGCUUUUUAAAUAAGAUCUCAUCUCUGAGUUAGAGUAAACUGUCAAGACUUAAAACUUACUUACUUUACCUUUACCAUGGGACUUGUAACUGUCACUUCUGUCUUGAGUGGUUAAAAGAUAGAACAGUCUAGCCAAGUGCCAUGUCUCUUAUUCUUGAUCAGCUAUAGCUUAAGAGUUUUUGCAGAUUUUCAAAUAAAACUCAGAGAUUCCUUGUAUGAUUCUCUCAGAUCUCUCUUUUGUGGUAUUUUUGGAUCCUUACCAAGGCAUUGAUGGUAUAUGCCUUCUCUCAAGAUAUGUGGUAUUUGUGGUAUAAGGCAUUGCCUUCUCUCUCACCCUACUAUAAUAAGGCUUUAAUAUCUGGAGCUCAUAGGUGGGAGAUAAAGUAUACAUACUUACAAGACAUUUAUUGCAUAGUCAAACCAUGGAUCCAAAGAAACAAAUCAAUAAGCCAAAUCAAGAUGUGCAUGUGUGGCGAAUGAAUGGUGUAUGGUGAUGAUGGUGAUAACAAUGGUGGUGGAAGUCUAAUUCUACUUUGCUCUUUGAGGGGAUACAUACCUUCCUUGCUUUUGAAACUUUAUGAGGAGAAUGAGAUGCUCUUCUUUUUUUUCUCUCAGGUGGGUAUCUUGCACCCCUAAUUCUACUGUCGGACACUUGUCCAUUUUUAUCUCUCGUCUCACUUUUUUCUUUUUCUUCGAGGUUCCGGGCACUUGCCCCUUUUUAUUUCCUCGUAUUUAUUAUUAUUUUUUCUUUCUUUUUUUUCUCUUUUUUUAGAGCAUUCAUCUCUUGAGAUAAUAUAGCAAGUGGUAGUAACAAGAUAACUUGAGCAUUUAUUUCACAAGGGGAAACAGAAAUAUUUUUGGUUAUUCUCUCCCGGAUUAGGAGUAGAAUACUUGUGGGUGGUUUUGGAGAUGGAAAUGAGUGGAUAUAUGUGGAUGGUACUUCCGGAGUAGAAGUAGCAUGUAUGAGUGAACGUGCAAGUGAAAUCUUGAUUUAACCACAUGACAAGUUCCUAAGGGUCUACACAGCUUGACUACACUCAAUGCUCAUAAGCAGUAAAUAGUAAAUGUGUGGCUCAAAGUCUAGCAAGCAUGUAUAUAUGGCUGUGGUAGGAAUUUAAACUCUCAUCAUACAGGAACUCAUCAUGUAACAUUUUAAAGAUUUUCAAAGAUAAAAUUCUCCAGAAUUCUAGCAUCUCUAGGAACAGAUAAACAACAGCUCAACCUUCCCAUAUCGUAUCCGUUAACAACUUAGACUUCAGAUCAAGUUUUCAUCCCACAAGUUUAGGUCUAGAGCAAGCCUUAAAUUAUAACAGUUAUAUCUAAACUUGAGAGAGAACUUCAAAUUUGCAAAUUAGGCAGAGCAACUAUUCAUCAUAUCCAUGCUUAAGUUUUAUUAGAUACAGAUUAGCAUAGCCACUUUAUUUAUUUAUUAAACACACUAAGCAAAAUAUAUAUAAGUAUAAAAUCUUUAUUUGGUUUUUCAUAGUUAUGUGUAUUUAUAUUCUAAUAUAGUAUAAGUAUAAAGAUAGAUAGAAAUACUUAUCGAGAUAAAUGGGGGUGCUUUCCCCCAAGCUGAAUUUUGACGUAAUUUCUCUUGAUGUAGCUAGCAGGUGGCAGAGGUGUGUUUGAAAGUCAGGAGUAUUUUGACAGCGAUUAGAAUGUCCUCUGUCUGCUAGUCUUCUUGAUUCUUAAAUUCUGUGGAGCUCAAAUAGACAACAAAGCUUGUGGAACUGAUUAAGUGUUAGCAUAAAUAUUUAGCCUUUAUCAUCUUGAGACUCCUUAAUAAUUAUUACUCCCUGUUUUUUAUAUUUUCAUUUUAUAAAGCAGAAAAAUAUUUAUUUUAUUUUUAUGCCACCACAGUGAAUGUACUUAUGGGUUUUAUGCCACUCGUAUACUCACAUGGGGCUUACUGUUUUUCACAUUUUUAUUUUCUUUUAUUUUUAAGAUAGUAUGAAUAUGAUUAACUAAGUAAACUAUCUAAAAUAAUUGAAAGGGAAAUGAUAACUACCAAGUUUACCUCUUGGCAAGGCGUUCGGUAUUUUUAAGUCCUCCGAACGGGACUCUCCGUUUUCGUAGUCGUCCUGGGAUUUGCUGGGUGGCGUAGUCGGUGGUUCCGGCGGCGCCUCCUCUUCGUGUAUAACUAUCUUCUCUUUCCAUACCUGACUCGGUGCUACGGUCUCCUCAGGACAGUUCUGUUCAAGUUGUAUGUCUUCAGUCCUUAUCACUUCUCCUUCGUAGUCUACCCAUCCGUCCUUGAUGAUUUGCCUCCUCUGGUUGCGGUUGCGUUGUCUUCUUCUUGUCCUGACCUGCUUAGAAUCUUCAACUAUAUAGUUAGAAUCAUUAAAGUAGUGGCGUACCUUCUCAGAGGAGAAGUGCAUGUGGACUUCUCUGGUUCCAGUAUAGAUAAUGACUUUGAUAGUGCUGAGGAACGGUCUUCCAAGGAUGGUGGAUGGAUCAUACUUGUCUUCUCCCAUGUCAAUGACCUGAAAAUUUUCUGGGGCUGAAUGUAUGCUGGUUGUAGGAGCAUGGUUCCAUGCAGGAGCUGAUAAGUGACUGCGGCCAUUAUGUUGACAUCAGAUCCGGUGUCGUAGAGUGUCUUCUAAAAAGAGUAUCCAUUGAUUGUGCACUCAAUGUUUGGAACACCAGGGUCGUCCUUCUUGAUCAAGAAAGGUGACUUGAGUCGACGAUCUUGACCUCUUUGAACUGCAGUGACCAUCUUAGCUGACUCAGUCCACAUUUGCUUGUUCCUGUUCCUCCUGUUGGUCCUCUUCCUUGGUUUACGUCUGGAUUGAUCUUGAAUUUGUGUAGUCUUGUUCUUGAAGAAAUGUCUCCUUCUUCCCUUUGACGUAGAAACUGAUCUUGGCAGUACUAGCGUAGAUGAUAGCUCUUGUGUUUAGGAAUGACCUCCCUAAGAUGAUGGGUGCCCUCUCCUCAGUACCAAUCUCUAUUACCACGAAGUUUGCUGGAGCGUACAAGGUACCAACUCGGAUACAGAGGUUCUUCAAUAUUUCCUUUGGGAAACUAAGUGUCUGAUCUCCAUUGUGUUUGUGCUCGUAGAUCCCGGUUCUUCACUUGAUGGAAUCUGGGAGUUGUAAAACUCCUCCAUGUUUUGCUUGAAGUGUACCUAUUCAUAAAGACAAGGCAGAGAUCAAGUGCAUGGGCCCUGUUGGUGGAAAACACCAACAGAACCAAAAGUGUAUUUGUUCUUCUCCAACCUUAAGCAUAGUGAGCAAGACAAAGUUGUUGGAUCGUAGCAUUUAAAACAUGUGUUAGAUCAGAUGGCUCAACCUAAUGGAAAGAUAAUCUAUCUAUAUUUAUGUUUUGUUUAUAUCUUCCAAAGAUUGAAUGUGCAACAUAUUAGCUUAUAUGAUUGAGGACUAAGAACAAAGAUUAAAGGACUAAACAUGCUGAAUCAGUUAGGUUAAUUUAGAGUUAUAAAUCAUACAUGUUUGUCUCUUUAUUUAUGUGAAUGCCAGAACCAAGGCGAAGCUUAUAAAAGCGAUAGUCAAGUACUUUAAGAUGUUAUUGAAGAGUGAUGGUAUAGUAUCACCUUGUGGAAGCUUUCCUUUCUUAGUGGUUGUGCAUCGUGUUUGUGGCACCCUCCAUGAAUCAUCUCUUAUGAGCUACGUCUUUCUUGUGCAGAUUGUUAAACUUCAUGUGUCACUUUCUUCAUCUCAAAUGCGACUUUAUCUCAGGACUUCCCUGGUUGAUAUUGAAAGUUCUCCUGCAGGGGUUAGUCCCACAAAAUAUACCAAUAUCUACUCAAGCAGUUUUUAGUUCAGUAACCAAACUAGACUCCAUGUCUAAUCACAUUAAGGAAGGCUGUUUAACCUAAGCACCAUGCUUAAUUUAAAAGCCAAUGGAAGUAUGUCGAGUACUUCCAAACCUACACUUACUAGGAUAAACAAAGGUAGCAUGAUGGCAUUUAUAGAGAUCUACUCAAGUGGAGAUGAAGUAGUGUGAUUAGUAUUUAACAAAUUGAGCAUGUCUCAAAGGUAAGGACAACCAACAUAGCAACAUGGCAAAGGAUGUUUUUAUGUAAAGUACUCCCCCAAGCUUGAAUUUUACAAAAUUCAAGUUUGGAUGAAUUUAAUUCAAUGUUGUGUGAUGGUUGGUUGGACAUACCUUGUACUUGUCAUUCAUCCGAUCUUCUUGCUCCAAUCCUGGAAAGGUUAGUGACAAGAAUACCCGAAGGAAUAUUUCUACAAUUAUCUUUAUAUGCUCAAUACACAAGGCAAUGUUGCAAAUAAUUAGAAGUGCUUGUUUUAGGACACUAAGCUUGUCCUUGGGAAACCAUCAAUUAACUCAACGAGAUCUGCAAUAUUUAUUAUAGACAUAUGCAUCGACAACCGCUCUUUUAAAGUUUUUAUAAAUAAAAAAGAAGAGAGGGUUGGAGAUCUCAAAUGUGAUAAGGAUGGAGAGACUAAUUGAUUGGAGAGAUGUUUUAUAUGAGCAAGGACUGGGUAAGGUAUUUAAGAAAUAACUUCCAUACCCACUGUUGUUACUCUCAUUAUCAAACUCCAAGGAUGAUUCUUCGUGAAUGCUUAAAAUUCCUCUAGGAUUGUCUCUCAAGUUUGUUUUAUCUAUCCAUUCAAUGGUGAUAGCACAUGGAUUUUUAAUGCCCUCUAGCCAUCGAUGUUGCUCUUCUCGAUCCUCCUUCUUAUGCAUGGGAUGUCUAGAGAGAUUCAUAGGAUUAUCGGGAGGUUCAAGAGAAAGAGCAUAGUAGAAUUUAUUAAACUCUAGGAUGGGUUGGAUAGCCGAAUUAUGGGAUUGAAAUGUUUGAAAAUCGGUUAUUGAAACUUCCUCUCCUCGUCUGGGAGAUGAUUCCUUCUCUAUUUCUAAGAUUUUUCUAUGAAGACUAGUACAAGAAGGAUGUCCACAAAUGAAGACAUACCUUCCUUUACUAAUAGAUAAAGAACGAAGGACUCUACCAAAGGUUAUAUGAUUAAGACCAAUAUGAAAAUAUCGAGAAAAAACAUGGUCUUGUAGGGCUAGGUCUAAACCAGAGUUUAUAGUAAGAUUAACAUAUUCCCUAGGUGUAGCUAAAAGUGCAUUAUCUUUUUGAUUAAAAGAUAGGACCUCGGCUAUAGAAAAGGGUUGGUUUUGACCUAUUGCAAUCAACUCCGGACACAGAUCAUAAUUAGGGGCAGGACGUGUUGACUCCCAUGGUCUAUGGCUGGUCUCCGAAGGUGCAAAGAAUUCAAUAAUAGGUAUGGAAUUUAAGUUAUCCAUAAAAAUAAAAAGAUAAAAAAGUAUAAAAGUAUAAUACAAGAUAAUAGCAAGACUCAAAGUUAUCUCAGCAAACCGUCUUUCUCCCCGGCAACGGCGCCAGAAAUGCUUGUUGAUAUUUGGUAACGCAAUUAGAAAAUGAUCCGCAAGCGCACGGAUAUCGGUGAGCAUUUCACCCGGGAGGAUUUCCAGAGUAUCGUAUUUAUAUUUUUACCACUGGGAGAAAGGGUGCAUCUGACUAACCAAAUCUAUUGCUACUAUCCCUUUAGGCUACAAAGAAUGUCUCUCGAUGUGAGUGAUGUAUAGAGAUGACUGCAACCGUAGUCUCGUUCUAACCUUGGUAAGGAUGAUCUACUGUUUUAUUGGAGAGGCUCACGGAAUCUAGACAACUCAAAGGAUGUUCGACCCGCACCUAUAAACCUACCCGUCCUGCUAACGAGAUGUGAUCUGCAAAGGUAACUCGGAAUUGCCAUGUUCCUCGCUACUACCACGGUCCAGCUAGUCAGGGGAUAUCUAUGAGUACCCUAGCCUAAACACCACGUUUACGCUAACAAGUGAUUACUCUAAUACUCAACCGUAAGAGGAUUAAAGUAAACUCAUAAACCAAAGAACAAUAAAACAAGAACUUACUAGUAAUUAGAAGUCGAAUUACUGAAGAAUCUUAGAAGCAAGCCUCGGGUUAGGAGACUUGAUCCCGUAGGUAUAAAUCGGAGUAGACACCGAUAGGCCGGCCUUCCUCCGAUCCACACCUCCACUCUAUCUCUCUCAAUCUAGUAGAAACUAGAAGAUCUAUUUCUACUUUACAUUGGUUGCUAAGCCUAAAAAGAAAUAUUAUUUAGAGAAGAGGUUUUCCUUCGAGGGCACCCCUCAAUCUCUAUGAUAAUUCCUUGUCUUCUCCAGGGGCCAGAGGGGGUCUCCUUAUAUAGUCCUCCCCUUCUAUGCGUUUUUGGGUCGAUAGGCGAGGUGGUACUAUGUUAUUCUGGAUCCAAUAGGUCGGUGGAAUGUCGUGUACGAAGAGAGUCCGGAACAGAGUCCAGAGGGGGGCGGGCGCCCAGGUCCUCAGGGCGGGCGCCCUGGGCCUAGCCCCUUUCGGGCUCCGCUUCCUUCCCGUGGCUUCUGGAGUCUUCUAGAUGAUAGGAAAUUGCGCGGUGGGUUGAUAUCUCUAUGUAAUCCCGACAUGUGGGCCUUUCUUCCUUAUUUCCUGAUAACCCCCUGCAGAAAUAGACAAACACCAAAACUCGUAGAAUUCUGUCAGAUAAAACCCUAAGUCUAGAUGUUGAUUUCAUUUGGAUCCUUUUCUUUAUUUAUUUGAUAAUUAAAUUUGAUACUUAAGGACCGUCAACAAGUACUAGGCUUGGAGUCAACCAGUCAAUGCUGUCCCUGUGUGGAGCUUCCGUCGAGAGCGUUGUUUACUUUAUGUUAUCAUCUUUGUAAGAGACUAUGUGAUAUUUUAUAUUCCGCUAUGUAAUAAACACUACAAUGGUACAUUUGAGAUUUGUCUACUUAUGUGUGCGACUGUUUUUUGGGGCACAUAUGAGUCUUUUAUGCAUCCUAUUUUGUUCUUAAAAUAUGGGUGUGACAAGAAAUCAAGGAUUAGAUAAGAAGAAAGAAUAGCAGAGAUAAGGCAAAAGAUAAAAGGAAAAGUAUAUAUAUAUUUUUUUAUUUUUUAGAAAAUGAUUGAGCUAGUUCGUAGUCAACUCAGCAACCGUCUCCCCAGCAACGGCGCCAAAAAUGCUUGUUGACACUUGCUAACACCACUUGAAUACUAGGUUGUUAUCCCCAACAUGACACUAGAGUGUACUAUGGUAUUUAUACGCACACAGAUAAAUCCGCAAGUGCACGGAUACCGUUGUAGCUUUUACCCAGUUAAAGGUUUCAUCGUAUCCACAGGGAAACAGGAGAACCAACUACGCUCUAACUUAACCAAGAUAGAUAGAUGAGUGUAAAUAGGAAAGAUGGUAGAAUUGAAUAAGAACAAUAUUAAAGGUAAGAUAACAAUGGGUGAUAAUAUGGGAAUAGAGAGUAGAGCAAUCUAAUAUAUGGGCGAUGGUAGCAGAAUAGAGAGGAUAACUAUGGUUUCUCUACUUUAAAGGGGUAUGUCUAUGUCUAGGACGAACCACGUGAUAAGAAUACACCACAAAGGAUGCUUCUCCAUAGGCCGAUAAACCCUACCCGUCGUACUAACAAGAGGUGGACUACAGGGGACCAACGUAACUAUCACCUACGCGGCCUACCACACGAUCCAGCUAGACAGUGGAUAUUCACAAGUACUCUAGGUCUAAGCACCACGCUUACACCUAUACUACAACUCUAACCUAUAGGGUCCUAUAGAUUAGAAGUACUCAAAAGAGUUGUGAACCAGAACAUACAUGAUUAGUAAUUGCAUAAUGAAUUAGAAGUAGAUUACUAGAGUCAUCCCAUGAGCAAGCUUGAUUAGAGCUUGAUCAUGGUGAAGUACAACCGGAGGAAGAAUCGACAGGCCGGCCUCUCCUCCAAUCCUCCCUCGCUCUCCAUCUCGCUACUAUCUAGAUCUACUCUAGUUUAGAGAAGAGAGGAGAGCUCUCAUCUCUAAACCCUAGCUUUUGCUCUGUCUAUGAAUAAUGAAUAUGGAUCAAGGGGUUGCCUCCUCUUGGGGCCAGGGGGUCUGCUUAUAUAGGCCCCUCAAGUGAAUCUGGGCCGUCGGAUCAAACCGACAUUGAUUGAAUGGUUAUUCUUGAUCCUUUAGGUCGGUGGAGCGUAAUCCCCGAAGAGAGUCCUGAUUGGACUCUGGGACAGGGCGGGCGCCCAUGGGGGGAGGGCGGGCGCCCUGCCCCCGAGCCCGCUUGGCCUCCCGUUUGUUCCCGUGGCUUCUGGAGUCUUCUAGAUGAUAGAAAAUUGCGUGGCACGUUCAUAUCUCUAUGUAAACCCGACAUGUGGGCCUUUCCUCCAUAUUUCCUGAUAACCCCCUGCAGAAAUAGACAAACACCAAAACUCAUGGAAUUCUGUCAGAUAAAACCCUAAGUUUAGGUGUUGGCUGUAUUUGGAUCCUUUUCUUUGUUUAUUUGCAUUGAGAGUUGCAUCUAGUGGCACUUGAUCCUUGAGUUUGUUGUGGAUUUCUUGUUACUCUUGGGUGUUUCUCGACACCCUACAUGGCUUGGAGCAGUGGAGGUGUUGAGCUUGUGACUGGAGAUUGUUUCGAGCCUCACGAAGUGAUUUGUGAGGGGUUCUUGAGCCUUUUUUGCUGGAGAUCACAAUUGGAAACUUGUUAACUUACAAAAUUUGUUAGCAUUUAUUUCUCAACCAGAUAUCAAUAUAUACUAGAAUAGGGUUAUCACUGACAAUUUCCAUGAGUUUUUCAUAUUUUGUGUUUUCUAGGGAUAAUUUCAAAAAGAGCUGAAAAGAGGGAUUUAAGUGCUAAUUGGCCACGAAACGUAUCCGUGAUGGAAGGAUGACACCAGAGGAAUCAGGAACACCCUAGAAGACACCCGACGCAACGGGGGAGCCAGUAGCCGCGAGGUGGGGUCGGCCGGCCACACCCUAGCGCCGGCCGGCCCCCUAUGGUUAGGGUUUGCUCCCCCCUUCCCGAAGCUUCCUCCACCGCCUUUGAGGAGCCAUCUCGUCUGAUUGUUAAAUCGGUUUGAUCCAACGGCAUGUGUCCAUCUCAAUAGGCUAUAAAUAGAAGGCUAGACCCCCCUGGAGGAGGCCACUGUUGACGGUCCUUAAGUAUCAAAUUUAAUUAUCAAAUAAACAAAGAAAAGGAUCCAAAUGAAAUCAACAUCUAGACUUAGGGUUUUAUCUGACAGAAUUCCACGAGUUUUGGUGUUUGUCUAUUUCUGCAGGGGGUUAUCAGGAAAUAAGGAAGAAAGGUCCACAUGUUAGGAUUACAUAGAGAUAUCAACGCACCGCGCAAUUUUCUACCAUCUAGAAGACUCCAGAAGCCACGAGACCGAAGCGGAGGCGAAACGGGGCCAGGCCCAGGGCGCCCGCCCUGGUGACCUGGGCGCCCGCCCCCUGUUGGAACCAGAUCAGGACUCUCUUCGCUCGGGAUGUUCCACCGACCUAUUGGGUCAAGGAAAACAUAGUACCACCUCGCCUAUCGACCCAAAAACGCAUAGAAGGGGAGGACUAUAUAAGGAGACCCCCAUGGCCCCUGGAGAAGACAUGAAGAAAUUAUCAUAGAGAUUGAGGGGUGCCCUCGAAGGAAAACCUCUUCUCUAAUUAAUAUUUCUUUUUAGAUUGAGAGAGAUAGAGUGGAGGUGAAGACUGGAGGAAGCCCGGCCUGUCGGUGUCUACUCCAAGCUUGUACCUGCGGGAUCAAGUUCUCCUAACCCGAAGCUUGCUCCUAGGAUUCUUCAGUAUUUCGACUUCUAAAUUCUAGUAAGUUCUUGUUUUAUUGUUCUUAUGGUUUAUGAGUUUACUUUAAUCUCUUCGCGUAGAGUUUAGAGUAAUCAUUGCUGGCGUAAACGUGGUGUUUAUGCUGGGGUACUCAUAGAUAUUCCCUGACUAGCUGGACCGUGGUAGUAGUGAGGAACGUGACAAUUCCGAGUUACCUUUGCAGAUCACAUCUCGUUAGCAGGAAGGAUAGGGUUUAUAGGUACGGGUUGAACAUCCUUUGUGGUGUCUAGAUUCCGUUAGCCUCCCCAUUAGAACAGUAGAUCAUCCUUACCAAGGUUAGAAGGAGACUACGGUUGCAGUCUUCUCUAUUUAUCACUCACAUCGAGAGACAUUCUUUGUAGCCUAAAGGGAUAGUAGCAAUAGAUUUGGUUAGUCAGAUGCACCCUUUCUCCCAGUGGUAAAAAUAUAAAUACGAUAACUUUGGAUAAUCUCCCGGGUGAAAUGCUCACCGAUAUCCGUGCGCUUGCGGAUCAUUUCCUUAUUGCGUUACCAAAUAUCAACAGCCACAUUAAGAGAUGAAGAGUCAGAGCAUUAGAUACACAUCCACUAGAUCUAGGCUAGCAAUCAAGAUAGAGAUUAGAGAGAUAGAGUAGAGAAGUAGCGAUUCAGAGGAGUCCCGGCCUGUCGGAGCUUCCUUAGGAGCUGUAUUCGUUUAGAUUUGGCUCCCUCGCCCGGAGCUACGUUCUGAGGUACUUCUGUAUUUACCCUUUCUGAUUCAAGUAUGCAACUUGUUUGUAUUCGUUCUUUGGUUUGCAACUCAUAUUAUAUUGAGUACUACAAUUUGGGUAGCUCCUAGGUCGGAGUAGUGAUUCGUAGCGUAGACGUGGUGUCUAGGCUAUGGUUGCUUGUGAAUGUCUCCUGAUCAGCCGGAGAGUGGUAGUUCGCGUAGGUAACUUUAUAGCUGCGUUGAUUCCUCUGUGUUGGGUAUUUUAAACGCAAACAGAAAAAAUCCGCAAGCGAACAGAUACCGAUGUAGCCUUCACCCAGGAGUAUUUCAGAGUAUCGAUUUUCCACAGGGAACGUGAGUGUACUAAUCAAGAAUCAAGAUCGCCCAAGGAUAACUAUAUAAUUAUUUUUGGUGGGAAGAGAGGAAGUUUCCUGAGAGUUGUCUAGUUGAUCUAAGAAUCAAAAAUUACUUCAAGAUUAUCUAUAUCGGGACAUCAGAGCACUAACCAGAGAAAGAGAUGAGAAGGGGGCUAGGAAGGUCUGACUACGGUCCUACAAACACCGAUCCGAGGUGGAAUACGUCGACCGUUAGGGCUGUCACUACCCUAAGGCUACCACAACAAUCCGCAGGAUUGGGUGCAAUUCUAGGUAAUUGCAAGACUAAACACCACGUCUAAUCUAUUAAUUACUACUCUAGCGUUAUAAAGACUAGAGCACUUGAUGCAAGUGGGAAUCCAAUAAAUAACUUGAAUGUAAAUAAAAGUAAUUAAAGAACUCAGGAAUUAUGAAUUGAAGAACCUGGAGAACGAUGAAGAACGAACCAGUUGCUGCAAAAGUAUAAUGUUGAGGAAGAUCCGACAGAUCCGGCUCCUCCUCCGCUCUCCUCUUCGCUCUCCCUAUUUUCUAGAUUACAACUAGAACUAACUAGAACUAGAACUAGUGGAACUAGAACUAGAACUAGAUGAACUAGAAUUAGAUCUAGAUGAACUAGAGGUAGAACUAAAAGAACUAGAGGGAUCCUCUCUACUUGGAUGAAGAAUUGAAACCCUAACUUUGAUUCUGUAGAAGAGGUAUGAUCUCCAGGGGCUAGGGAGGUCUGGUUUUAUAGUCCCUUCCAGUGAAUCUGGGCCGUCGGAUCAAACCGACAUUGAUCGCAUGAUUUUCCUUGAUCCUUUAGGUCGGUGGAGCAUAAUCCGCGAAACGUGUCCUGAUUGGGCACUGUAGCUGGGCGGGCGCCGAGGGGAGUUGGGCGGGCGCCCAGCCUCCGAGCCCGAUUUCCUUCCCGUUCGUUCCCGUGGCUUCUGGAGUCUUCUAGAUGAUAGAAAAUUGCGUGACAUGUUAAUAUCUCUAUGUAAACCCGACGUGUGGGCCUUUCUUCCGUAUUUCCUGAUAACCCCCUGCAGAAAUAGACAAACACCAAAACUCAUGGAAUUCUGUCAGAUAAAACCCUAAGUCUAGGUGUUGGUUCCAUUUGGAUCCUUUUCUAUGAUUAGUUGAUGGUUAAUUGUGAGCAUUAAGGACCGUCAACAAGCUCCCCCAAGCUUAACCUUUGAUCGUCCCUGAGCAAAGAUGAACUCAAGAGUUUCUGCAGUGGUUUCAUAACUUAAAGAUACACAUGCGUUUAAACAGGAUCUCAUCUCUGGUUAGAGUAAACUGUUAAGACUUAAAACUUACUCAUUUACCUUUCACCAUGGGACUUGUAACCGUCACUUCUGUCUUGAGUAGUUAAAAGAUAGAACAGUCUAGUCAAGCACCAUGUCUCUUGUUCUUCGAUUAACUAUAGCUCUGGAGUUUUUACAGAUUUUCAAAUAAAACUCAGAGAUUCCUUGUAUGACUCUCUAGUCUCUCUUUUGUGGUAUUUCUGGAUCCUUACCAAGGCAGUAAUGGUGUAUGCCUUCUCUCAAAGUAUGUGGUAUUUUUGGUAUGAGGCAUAGUGGUAUUGCCUUCUCUCUCACCCUACUCUAAUAAGGUUUUGAUAUCUGGAGCUCAUAGGUAGGAGACAACUAAUACAUACUUACAAAACAUUUAUUGCAUAGUCAAACCAUGGAUCCAGAAGAACAAGUCAAUAAGUCAAAUCAAGAUGUGCAUGUGUGGUGAAUGAAUGGUGUAUGGUGAUGAUGGUGAUAACAAUGGUGAAAGUCUAAUUAUACUUAUGCUCUUUUGAGGGGAUACAUACCUUUCUUGCUCUUUUGAAACUUUUUGAGGAGAAUGAGAUGCUCUAUGUUUUAUUUUUCUUGCACGUGGGUAUCUUGUACCCCUAAUUCUACUGUCGGACACUUGUCCAUUUUUACCUCUCGUCUCACUUUUUCUUUCUUUCGAGGUUCCGGGCACUUGCCCCUUUUUAUUUCCUCAUAUACUUUUUUUUCUUUUCUUUUUUUUCUUUUUUUAGAGCACUCAUCUCAUGAGAUAAUAUAGCAAGUGGUAGUAACAAGAUAACUUGAGCAUUUAUUUCACAAGGGAAAACAGAAAUGUUUUUGGCUAUUCUCUCCCUAAUUAGGAGUAGAAUAUUUUUAGGUGAUUCUGGAGAUGGAAAUGGCUGGAUAUAUGUGGAUGCGUACUUCCAGAGUAGAAGCAGCAUGUGUGAGUGAACGUGCAAGUGAAUCUUGACUUAACCACAUGACAAGCUCCUAAGGGUCUACACAGCUUGACCACACUCAAUGCUCAUAAGCAGUAAAAAGUAAAUGUAUGGUUCAUAGUCUAACAAGCAUGUAUAUAUGGCUGUGGUAGGAAUUUAAACUCUCAUCAUACAGGAACUCAUCAUGCAUUUUAAAGAUUUUCAAAGAUAAAAUUCUCCAGAAUUCUAGCAUCUCUAGGAACAGAUAAAUGUUGGGUAUUCUUAACAUCAUUACUAAAAGUAGACUAAGUUCUAAAUCUAGCAACGGUGCCAAAAAUGCCAAACCUAUCCCUCACACCACUUAAGCCAAGUUGUCAUCCCCAGCAUGAUAUGAGAGACGCGGUAUUGAAAUAUGCAAUUGCUCUUCUAAAUAAAUAAUGAAUGGGAUCUGCAAGCGCACAGAUUAAUACCGAUGUAGCAUUUUAACCGGGAAGUAUUCCAGGUAUCGUUAUUUAUAUUUUUACCACUGGGAAGGGAUUAGCAAUCAUCACUAUUGAUUACAGAAUAGAAUAUGAGAUUGAGCAUCUAUCAUUGCAUGUAUAAUUGAGAACAUUAUAUCUAACUCAUCAUACAGGGAUAAAUGUCACAUAAAAGAUAUAUGAAAUAAUAAUAGUGACAAGGAUAACUAAUCUGAUCUAGCCACAUAAUAAAUAUGAUAAGCACCUCAAUUAGAUACUCUAGAAAGUCAUUAGCAUGGUAUUAGAACGAACUACAAGAAUAUUCCCUAAGUUAUUCUCAACUAUAUAGUCUAGCAUUAUCAUAGUUAGAGCAAGCAUACUUAGCAAUCAUUGUGAGACAAGACUACGCCCAUGCAUAGUGAUAUUAGCAAGGAAUAUGAGAAACAUAGCAAUCACUCCCCUGUAAUAAUGUUGCUCUGCCAGCCCAAUACACGAGAGGGGGACUAUAUAAGAAUCAAUGAAGCUGUCACUAUCACGAACCACCCCACGAUCUGGCAUAUUGGGUACAAUCGCAGAUAAAUACGGUAUAAGCACCACGCCUACACAAUAUCUAUCAGUUACCCAUGGAUCCGAUGGAUAAACGCUAUACGAUCCUAAGCAUGUAUAUAGAUCGUAUCUAACUAAGCCAAGUACAUAACUAUGAUAAACUAAGAACAAUAUAAUCUUGAAUAUAAGCAAGUAGAGCAAAGUCAUAAGCAAUAUAUUGAAGUAGAACAAAGUCAUAUUCAUAAUAUUGAAGAACAAAGAUAAUUAGAAAGCAAUUAGAAGCACAAUUAGAAGAUUACCAAGAAUCCUCCUGACAGAUCCGGAAACCAAUCGAAGAUUGACUCCUUCUAGUUCUAAUCCUAUGUAGCUAUGCUAAUCUAGAUGUCUAAUUGAUGUGGUGGCUCUAAUCUUGAUCAGAGGCUUCUUCUCCCUUGAUGGAACAAUGAAUUAGGGUUGAGAGGCUCUCUCCUCCAGGGGCCAGGGGGUCUGGUUUUAUAGUCCCUCCAAGUGAAUAUGGGCCCUUGGAUCAAACCGACAUAGAUUGUAUGGUUUAGAUUCAUCCUUUAGGUCGGUGGAGAUCUCCCGCAAAGCAGAGUCCUGAUUGGACUCAGGAGGUGGGCGGGCGCCCUGACCAACUGGGCGGCCGCCCAGGGUCUGGCCCCGUUUCGCCUCCGCUUCGGUCCCGUGGCUUCUGGAGUCUUCUAGAUGUAAGAUAAUUGCGCAGCACAUUAAUACCUUUACGUAAUCCUGACAUGUGGGUCUUUCUUCCGUAUUUCCUGAUAACCCCCUACAGAAAUAGACAAACACCAAAACUCGUGGAAUUCUGUCAGAUAAAACCCUAAGUCUAGAUCUUGAUUUCAUUUGGAUCCUUUUCUUUAUUUAUUUAAUAAUUAAAUUUGAUACUUAAGGACCGUCAACAAACUCCCCCAAGCUUACCUCUUGCUUGUCCCUGAGCAAGGAUAGACUCAGCUAUGGAUCAGAAGUAGUUGCAAUAUCUUUAAAAAUUUGACGGUACACAUGCUUUUAAAUAAGAUCUCAUCUCUAAGUUAGAGUAAACUGUCAAGACUUAAAACUUACUUACUUUACCUUCACCAUGGGACUUGUAACUGUCACUUCUGUCUUGAGUGGUUAAAAGAUAGAACAGUGUAGCCAAGUGCCAUGUCUCUUAUUCUUGAUCAGCUAUAGCUCUGGGAUUUUUGCAGAUUUUCAAAUAAAACUCAGAGAUUCCUUGUAUGAUUCUCUCAGGUCUCUCUUUUGUGGUAUUUUUGGAUCCUUACCAAGGCAUUGAUGGUAUAUACCUUCUCUCAAGAUAUGUGGUAUUUGUGGUAUGAGGCAUAGUGAUAUUGCCUUCUCUCUCACCCUACUCUACUAAGGCUUUAAUAUCUUGAGCUCAUAGGUGGGAGAUAAAGUAUACAUACUUACAAGACAUUUAUUGCAUAGUCAAACCACGGAUCAAAAAUAACAAGUCAAUAAGUUUAAUCAAGAUGUGCAUGUGUGGCGAAUGAAUGGUAUAUGGUGAUGAUGGUGAUAACAAUGGUGAAAACAAUGGUGGUGGAAGUCUAAUUCUACUUUUGCUCUUUUGAGGGGAUACAUACCUUCCUUGCUUUUGAAACUUUAUGAUGAGAAUGAGAUGCUCUUCUUUUUCUUGUCUCUCAGGUGGGUAUCUUGCACCCCUAAUUCUACUGUCGGACACUUGUCCAUUUUUACCUCUCGUCUCACUUUUUUUUCUUUUUGAGGUUCUGAGCACUUGCUCCUUUUUAUUUCCUCGUAUUAUUCCUUUUCUCUCUUUUUUUUAGAGCACUCAUCUCUUGAGAUAAUAUAGCAAGUGGUAGUAACAAGAUAACUUGAGCAUUUAUUUCACAAGGGGAAAACAGAAAUAUUUUUGGUUAUUCUCUCCCGGAUUAGGAGUAGAAUAUUUUUAGGUGGUUCUGGAGAUGGAAUGGGUGGAUAUAUGUGGAUGGUACUUCCGGAGUAGAAGUAGCAUAUAUGAGUGAACGUGCAAGUGAAAUCUUGAUUUAACCACAUGACAAGCUCCUAAGGGUCUACACAGCUUGACCACACUCAAUGCUCAUAAGCAGUAAAUAGUAAAUGUGUGGCUCAAAGUCUAGCAAGCAUGUAUAUAUGGCUGUGGUAGGAAUUUAAACUCUCAUCAUACAGGAACUCAUCAUGCAACAUUUUAAAGAUUUUCAAGAUAAAAUUCUCCAGAAUUCUAGCAUCUCUAGGAACAGAUAAACAGCAGCUCAGCCUUCCCAUAUCUUAUCCGUUAACAACUUAGACUUUUUCAUCCCACAAGUUUAGGUCUAGAGCAAGCUUUAAAUUAUAACUGUUAUAUCUAAACUUGAGAGAGAACUUAAAAUUUGCAAAUUAGGCAGAGCAACUAUUUAUCAUAUCCAAGCUUAAGUUUUAUUUAGAUACAAAUUAGCAUAGACACUUUAUUUAUUUAUUAAACACACUAAGCAAAAGAUAUAUAUAAGCAUAAAAUCUUUAUUUGGUUUUUCCAUAGUUUAUGUGUAUUUUAAUAUUCUAAAAUAAUGUAAGUAUAAAGAUAGAUAGAAAUACUUAUCGAGAUAAAUGGGGGUGCUCUCCCCCAAGCUGAAUUUUGACGUAAUUUCUCUUGAUGUAGCUAACAGGUGGUAGAGGUGUAUUUGAAAGUCAGCAGCAUUCUGACAGCGAUUAGAAUGUCCUCCGUCUGCUAGUCUUCUUGAUUCUUAAAUUCUGUGGAGCUCAAAUAGACAACAAAGCUUGUGGAACUGAUUAAGUGUUAGCAUAAAUAUUUAGCCUUUAUUAUCUUGAGACUCCUUAAUAAAUAUUACUCCCUGUUUUUAUAUUUUUUGUUUUUAUAAAGCAGAAAAAUAUUUAUUUUAUUUUUAUGCCACCACAGUGAAUGUACGUAUGGGUUUUAUGCCACUCGUAUACUCACAUGAGGCUUACUGUUUUUCAUAUUUUUAUUUUUUUUUAAGACAGUAUAAACAUGAUUAACUAAGUAAACUAUUUGAAAUAAUUGGAAGGGAAAGGGUAACUACCAAGUUUACCUCUUGGCAAGGCGUUCGGUGUUUUUAAGUCCUCCAAACGGGACUCUCCAAUUUCUUAAUCGUCCUGAGGUUCGUUGGGUGGCGUAGUCGGUACUUCCGGCAGUGCCUCCUCUUCUUGUAUAGUUAUCUUCAUUUUCCAUACCUGACUCGGUGCUUCAAUCUCCUCUAGAUAAUUCUGUUUAAACUCAACGUCUUCUGAUCUUACAACUUCUCCUUCAUAGUCUGCCCAUCCAUCCUUGAUGAUCUGCCUCCUCUGGUUGCGGUUGCGUCUCUUUCUGACCUGCUUAGAUUCUUCAACGAUAUAGUUAGGGUCAGUAAAAUAACGGCGUACCUUCUCAGGGGGGAAGUGCAUAUGGACUUCUCCGGUUCCAAUGUAGAUAAUUGCUUUAACGGUGCUGAGGAACGGCCUUCCAAGGAUGAUGGGUGGAUCACACUCGUCUUCUCCCAUGUCAACAACUUGAAAGUCUGUGUAGACAAAAUGAUCGUCUAUUUUGACUGGGACAUCAGAUACUGUUCCUUGAACUUCUCGAAAUGUCUGAUCUGCCAUCUGGAGCUGAAUGUAUGUUGGUCUUAGUGGCAUGGUCCCGAACAAGAGCCGAUAGGUGACUGCGGCCAUUAUGUUGACGCCUGAUCCGGUGUCGCAAAUCGUCUUGUAGAAGUUGUAUCCAUUUAUGGAGCAGUAAAUGCUUGGCAUUCCUGGGUCGUCCUUCUUGGUCAAAAACGGUGACCUCAGUUGGUGAUCUUGGCCUCCAUGGACUACAGUGACCAUCUUAGCUGACUCGGUCCACACUUGUUCCUGUUCCUCCUGUUGGUCCUCUUCCUUGAUCCACGUCUGGAUUGAUUUGGAAUUUGUGUAGUCUUAUUCUUGAAGAAAAAUGUCUCCUUCCUCCCUUUGAUGUAGAAACUGAUCUUGGCAGCACUAGCGUAGAUGAUAGCUCCCGUGGUGUUUAAGAAUGGCCUCCCUAGAAUGAUAGGUGCUCUCUCAUCAUUUCCGGUCUCUACCACUACGAAGUCUGCUGGUGCAUACAAGGUACCAACUCGGACACAAAGGUUCCUCACUAUUCCUUUUGGAAAAGUUAUCGUCUGAUCUGCAAACUGCAAACACAUGGUUGUCUCUAAUAAAGGAUAUGUAAAGAAUUUUUCAUAGAGUACUCUGGGUAUAAUGUUGACACUGGAGCCAAAGUCACAGAGUGCUCCUGGGACGUCCACCAUGCCGAUGGAGAUCGGGAUGACGGGGCGUCCUGGAUCGCCUCUCUUGACCGGCAGAUGGUCAGUAGAGAAUUCAUUGACGGGGUUACUCCAAUUACCUGCAUCAAACAUGUCUACAAGAUUGGCAGAUUCUAAUCCUUCCGGUUGUGAUGGUAUACCGGGGUUAGUAGUAGGAACAACAGCAGCUAUUUGAUUUAACUGAGAUUCAAUCAUUUUAUUAAAGCUAAUUUGAUUCUUGAUGGCAGUAGAGAAAUUAUCCAUUCUAUUAUUUAUAUUUUCUAGUAUUUUAUCAAUAGAUGCCAAUUUCUUAGAUAGGUUAUCCAUUAGCUUUCCUUGAUUAGACACUAACUCUCUCAAAGGUGGAAAAUUGUUAUUGUUGUUGUAAGAAUUGUUACCUUGAUAAUUACCUGAGUAGUUAGGCCUCUGUUGAUUCCAACCUUGAUUUUGUUGAGGACGGAUGUAGUAGUAGUUGUUGUUGUUGAUGUAGUUCACAUCCUCAAGUAUCUCAGGGCAGUGGUUGCCUGAGUGUCCAGUGUCUCCACACUCCUCACAAGUCAUGUGAGAGUCGUAGAUGUACAUAACUUCUUUCUUGUCUCUAGCUCUAUCAUCGAGCUUCUUCAUGAGCAGGUCUAGCUUUGCAGACAGCAUGUCUACCUCCUUCAGCUGAUGCAUACCUCCACCUCUCUUGCGUGUCUGGGUCCUCUAUUCAUUCCAGCUUUGAUUGGACGCCAUCUUCUCCACAAGAGCUGUGGCUUGUGGUAUAGUAAGUGAUAAGAAUGCUCCUCCAGCUGCAGCAUCCAUAGUCUCUCGG
rnacentral:lncRNA from 1 species